UACGUAGGGACCAAGCGUUGUUCGGAUUUACUGGGCGUAAAGGGCGCGUAGGCGGCGCGGUAAGUCACUUGUGAAAUCUCUGAGCUUAACUCGGGAACUGCGUCCGAUACUGGCGGGCUUGAAUCCGGGAGAGGGAUGCGGAAUUCCAGGUGUAGCGGUGAAAUGCGUAGAUAUCUGGAGGAACACCGGUGGCGAAGGCGGCAUCCUGGACCGGCAUUGACGCUGAGGCGCGAAAGCUAGGGGAGCAAACGGG
rnacentral:rRNA from 1 species